UGGGGGCAAUGCAGACCCCCCAUGAGACUUCGGUCCAAGCUCUGC
rfam:Bradyrhizobium japonicum TSDA 110 DNA, complete genome.